GUGGUAUACGAUGGAUCCGCGUCUGAUUAGCUAGUUGGUGGGGUAAAGGCCCACCAAGGCGACGAUCAGUAGCCGGCCUGAGAGGGUGAACGGCCACAUUGGGACUGAGACACGGCCCAAACUCCUACGGGAGGCAGCAGUGGGGAAUAUUGCACAAUGGGGGAAACCCUGAUGCAGCGACGCCGCGUGAGUGAAGAAGUAUUUCGGUACGUAAAGCUCUAUCAGCAGGGAAGAAAAUGACGGUACCUGACUAAGAAGCCCCGGCUAACUACGUGCCAGCAGCCGCGGUAAUACGUAGGGGGCAAGCGUUAUCCGGAUUUACUGGGUGUAAAGGGAGCGUAGACGGCAGCGCAAGUCUGGAGUGAAAUCCCAUGGCUUAACCAUGGAACUGCUUUGGAAACUGUGCAGCUGGAGUGCAGGAGAGGUAAGCGGAAUUCCUAGUGUAGCGGUGAAAUGCGUAGAUAUUAGGAGGAACACCAGUGGCGAAGGCGGCUUACUGGACUGUAACUGACGUUGAGGCUCGAAAGCGUGGGGAGCAAACAGGAUUAGAUACCCUGGUAGUCCACGCUGUAAACGAUGAUUACUAGGUGUUGGGGGACCAAGGUCCUUCG
rnacentral:rRNA from 1 species